AAGCGGUGGAUGAUGUGGAUAAUUCGAUGCAACGCGAAAACCUUACCUACCCUUAGACAUGUCCGGAAUCCCGAAGAGAUUUGGGAGUGCUCGCAAGAGAACCGGAACACAGGUGCUGCAUGGCUGUCGUCAGCUCGUGUCGUGAGAUGUUGGGUUAAGUCCCGCAACGAGCGCAACCCUUGUCAUUAGUUGCCAUCAUUUGGUUGGGCACUCUAAUGAGACUGCCGGUGACAAACCGGAGGAAGGUGGGGAUGACGUCAAGUCCUCAUGGCCCUUAUGGGUAGGGCUUCACACGUCAUACAAUGGUCGGUACAGAGGGUUGCCAACCCGCGAGGGGGAGCUAAUCCCACAAAGCCGAUCGUAGUCCGGAUCGCAGUCUGCAACUCGACUGCGUGAAGUCGGAAUCGCUAGUAAUCGUGGAUCAGCAUGUCACGGUGAAUACGUUCCCGGGUCUU
rnacentral:rRNA from 1 species